GCAGUGGUGGUUCCAAGGUAGAAUUCUCACCUUCCACGUGGGAGACAUGGGUUCGAUUCCCAACCAAUGCC
rnacentral:tRNA from 1 species